UGGAUGGAGCCUAUACCAGUUGUAAAUAUGAGCAAGAACAAGUAAAUGGUGUCUUCACUAGGAUAAGGAUAAAGGAGUUUCAGAAGGCGAAAUGAAUCCACUUGUUAAAUUGCUUGUCCCUUGAUGUGGGUGACAAAUAGGUGAAAAGCAGGAAGCUAAUCAACCCUAUGCAGAGCCAGAACAAGGACUCGUGAGUGCCGAGGGUGACAAACGGGUGAAGAACAAGAAGUUGAUCAACACAUCUUUUCAAAUGGAAAAGCCUAAGGUGCACACAACUCUUUUAUGUUAAGGAAUGAAGCUUAUCACCAAAUCGGAAGUGGGUGAAGAAAAUAACAUCUUAUGGAUUUAUAGUUCUGAUUUACAACUUUUUUUCACCUUGAGUGAAUUUAGUAAUUAGUCAUGUACUUAUUUCGAUACUAAGAGAUGUAGUGCGACAGAGACAUA